CCUCAGGACCUUUGACCAAGGACCCAGGGAUUCACCACUCAUCCUGUUGAAUUUUGCUACUUCCCAUAGGUCUUUGAGCUUGAGGUCAGAAGCUCUUGUGCAUAAGCAGGCCUGGUGUCCAUCAACAUUCACUAUCAAAUAAGAAUGUCAGUGUGAAGGCCUUUCCCACAGAAACACCAGGUGCAGCUAAGGGAAGCCGGAGGAAGUGGGUCAUUAGCCCAGAAGAGUGAAGGAAACUGAUUCGUGAGUCAAAACGACAUUACCCACUGUUCCACUAAAGAAGAUACAGACUCGAACCCCAUUCUGCAUUUACCAAUCCACUGAUGAGUGACCAGCUCUGAAGGCUGAUGGGAAUCUUUGCCCCUUUAAACCAACCAAGAAGCUCAUUUACACAUUAAAAAAGAAAAAAAU
rnacentral:lncRNA from 1 species